GUUCAGGUUGUUCUGACUGCGUGAGAAUCGUGAGAUGCGUAGCCGAUGCGGCUUACGUUUGUGAUGCCUGUGUAUAACCGGCCUUCACAGCUUCCGGAUUCCUUGCAUAUUCUCACCGGUUAGAGGUGACGGACUGUCCUAAUUGCGUCCUAAUCUGUUCGUGAUUCAACGAGGAUUGCCGAUCGGUCUGUGAACCGAUAUUCCAAAGUUUGUUUGCACAGAAAAUGGACUCUUUUAGAGGAGACAGGAAAACCAGCAAGGAUGAGGGUAUUAUGAAACAAGGUAUAGGACGUGGACAUCGUGUUUGGUCACAAUUAGACUCAUGCGGGGGACUCAGGCGACCAUACAGUGUAUCAACUGCUAAUCAAUCCAGUAUAAAAUCCGACUCUUCGUCAUCUACAGUGACGACACAGCAUAAUCAGGAAGAGAAGAAAUUUGCGCUAUCGCCACAGGCAGCAGAGUUUAUUCCGAAAUCCAUGCUGCCUCAAGUUUUUAAGUCACAGUGUUCUUUGGUGCAGUCUCCUCCAGCAGAGCCUAACGUAUAUCUGCCUCCUCAAAUACCUCCCCUCCAAUAUACAAAGAGUUCCAUACAAGACAGGAUCAGAAUGGCUCGUGAAAUACCGCCAAAUGUAUCUGUACCUCCGUCAUUUGAGGAUGAUGGUACUCUAGGAGACAUUUUGGAGCAGCAAUGCAAUAUACAGGACACAGACGUAGGAAAUUAUAAUAAUUAUGGAUAUGAUCAAGAUGAUAGAGAGAAGCAACAAAAUGAAAAGGAAGAAGCUUAUAACUUAGAAACUUAUGAACAUCUCAAUAAAAUUAUCAACAUUUUAAUUAUGAAUCCUGCCGAGUUUACCAAUCUAGUUCCACCAUUUAUGGACAAGCUUAGGUUGAGUGGAAAUAUGUGUUGCUUGCAGUUGGUUAUCACAACUAUAAUCGAAUGGUCUAUAGCGGAAAGUAAUUUUCGAUAUAAUGGAGCCCGGUUAUGUAAAUAUUUUGACACCAGCUUAGAAGAUUCCAAAGAGAUGUAUAUGUUUUCCAAAGAGCUGUUCAGGGAUUUGUUGUGCUUCCAAUGUAAAUGGGAGACCAGAGUACUCGAAUCUGAAUGGCUUAAGCAACCCGAAGAGCAACGAGAUCAACGGAAAUGCAAUGGACUGAUAUUGUUUUUAGCAGAGUUGGUCGCUCAGAUGGAUGAGUCAUAUGCUUUCAUUUUAGGAGAACUUUUGGUAUUAUUUAUCACUAGGGUACUGCAAAGACCAGCGUCGAGUUCUGUUAAAUAUAUAUGCCAAGCGCUCAAGUUGGCGGGUCACGUGUUGGAGAAAGAUAAAAGCAGGAAUAAAGACAUGGAGAAUAUGAUGCGGGCACUAACGGAACUCGUGAAUAAUGGGCAAGUUGAUACGCAUGUAGGAAACAUGGUAAACAGUGUUCACGAAUUACGAAAGGAUUGGGGUAGAAGCGCGCCCAAUUGUGAUUCUGGGUCGAGUCAUGUGUUAUUUAACGAUGUGCAGCGACAAUCUGAUCAAUUGGGUGCGUCUAAUUAUCAUUCAUCUGAAUCGUUGAAAAUACAGCACCAAGUACCGGAGAAAAUACAUUUUAACCAACCAGUGAUGUAUGGUCCUGACGGCUCGAUUCUGUCUGCGGAGGAAAGCGAAUUUCUUGAGCAACAUGCAAAAGCUGAUUUAGACGAUCAAGGGACAUCUGAAGAAGAACCCGAUGACAAUUAUGACGAUGAAAUUGCGACUGCUUACGAAGAGUUCUUAAGAGAUGCAAAGUGCAAAUAAAAUUCAAACAGUGAAUAUAAUCUUGCACAAAUACACUGAAAAAACGAGUAAAUAAAAACUUGUGCAAAAUUAUACUCUAGCUCAAGCCCAUUUAUAAAAUACGAAUAUCUCUUGUUUGAAAGUUUAUGAUUUUCAAAGAGAUAAAGAUUUGAUUACAUGAACAUUAACAUGAUACUCCAUAUCUGUAUCACGAAAAGUAGGACAAGAUACUGGCAUCGAUGGAAAAGAAAUGCACCAAACACAUGAUUAAUGUUAAAUUCAUAAAGAUCCGCCAUGUACAUAAAUAGCAUCGAUAUGUAUAUGUAGCGUGCAGAGUGGUUCACUUUGAAACGGAAUGCUUGAAUAAAUUCAUUUCAUUGGACGCGAAAGAAAAUGUUAAGGACGAAACUUACAUAAUUGAAAAAAAAAACAAAUAUAUUAUAGAAGGAAGUUCUUCUCAAAAUCGUAGUUUGUGUUUCAGGGCAUAUGUAUCUUUAAUUUUCAC